rnacentral:rRNA from 1 species
GAUGAACGCUGGCGGCGUGCCUAAUACAUGCAAGUCGAGCGAACAGACGGGGAGCUUGCUCCUCUGACGUUAGCGGCGAACGGGUGAGUAACACGUGGAUAACCUACCCAUAAGACUGGGAUAACUUCGGGAAACCGGAGCUAAUACCGGAUAAUAUAUUGAACCGCAUGGUUCAAUAGUGAAAGACGGUUUUGCUGUCACUUAUAGAUGGAUUCGCGCCGCAUUAGCUAGUUGGUAAGGUAACGGCUUACCAAGGCAACGAUGCGUAGCCGACCUGAGAGGGUGAUCGGCCACACUGGAGCUGAGACACGGUCCAGACUCCUACGGGAGGCAGCAGUAGGGAAUCUUCCGCAAUGGGCGAAAGCCUGACGGAGCAACGCCGCGUGAGUGAUGAAGGUCUUCGGAUCGUAAAACUCUGUUAUUAGGGAAGAACAAAUGUGUAAGUAACUAUGCACGUCUUGACGGUACCUAAUCAGAAAGCCACGGCUAACUACGUGCCAGCCGCCGCCGUAA